rnacentral:rRNA from 1 species
UACGAAGGGUGCAAGCGUUAAUCGGAAUUACUGGGCGUAAAGGGUGCGUAGGCGGUUCGUUAAGUCUGUUGUGAAAUCCCCGGGCUCAACCUGGGAAUGGCAAUGGAUACUGGCGGGCUAGAGUGUGUCAGAGGAUGGUGGAAUUCCCGGUAUAGCGGUGAAAUGCGUAGAGAUCGGGAGGAACAUCAGUGGCGAAGGCGGCCAUCUGGGACAACACUGACGCUGAAGCACGAAAGCGUGGGGAGCAAACAGG